GUUAACCCAUGCUCAGCAAAAGUAUUUGGAAAUUGAAACCCAUAAAAGCGAAAAAAAUCAAGACGGAUAUACUUUACCGCCAUGAUUUUCCUUUCUUGCCAGGAGUUUACGAAGUCUGCAUGUUUCUCUUGAUCUGAGAUCCAUCCAUCUAUGUUGGCGAGUCGUGGUUGAGAGGAGGAAGAGGCUCCAAUUGUUUUGCGACGAUGCCUUCUUUGUUCAGCCAUGGAUGAAGAUUGAAAAGAUGAAGGUUUAUGAAGUGAAAGAGAAAUGAAGAGAUUUUGAGCUCUGGAUUUGAUUCUAGCAGUAUUUGGUUGCAAAGGAGUGUCUAAUAAUCGAUUAUGGGGGGGCUAUUUAUAAGAAAAAUGGAAAAACUAGCUGUUUAUGGACGUUUAUAGCCGUUAUGGGACGCUCCAACGGCUCUAUUUUUGAAACUGUGAGCGUGAUAAUUGAUUAUGGCUCGUGAUAAUCGAUUAUCAGUUCAUUAAUCUCUGCCCAGAAUUGCAUGACAAUCGAUUAUGCCUGAUGAUAAUCGAUUAUCUGCUCAAAGUUUUCCAGAUUUGACUUUUAUGACUAAAUAAUCGAUUAUGACUUAGUGAGAAUCGAUUAUGACAUGUUAAGGUCACGAAAAAAUGCAAGAAUUUGCAUAGACUUUGAUUCUAAGACAUGUCUAACACUCCUAACUCUCUUCUAAGCUCAAAGAAUCUAUCUUUAGGUAGAGCCUUGGUGAAAAUAUCAGCUAACUGAUGCAAGGUAUCANCAUAUUCAAUUUGACAAUCCCCCU
rnacentral:lncRNA from 1 species